UGCAACUUGUUAGGGAGUGAACCCGGAGGUUAGCUGAAAUUUUGUAUGACAGGUGAGUGAGGCAAUUCAUCGAACAGUUUUAGUGCAAGAAGAAGAUGACCUAAUUUCGGAGUAUUACAGAAGGGGAACUUAGUCUGUCCAAUUCGAGUACCAAGUUUCUUUCGUUUUAACUCAUAAUUUUGGAGCCUCUGUUUCAUGAAGAGAUCCAACUCCGGUGAAAGUUGCUGAUUCUGAUUUGAUUUCUGGCAAGUAGUAAAAGCAGAUGUCUGGUAAGUGGUAACACAGAAUCUUCAUUGAUUUUUAACAGAGCUUUUUCAAUACAUGACUGAAAAGUUUUGGUUGAUGGAGUCUUGUGCUUCAUCAGCACUUGAUUAUGGGGCCAAGGCACAGCAGGUUCAUGGUUGAGUUACUCUAAAGACUAGAACCGCUUGGUUGAUGCAUUGCUGUGUUUUUAACUAAAAAUGUACAUUGAUAGAGCUGAGUUACAAAAGAGGAAGGUAUCUUCUCUUCUCUUGUUUGAACAUGAAUUCUUAGGAGGCAUUUAUUUCAAUGUUUGAAAUUGUAUUUCAAGAAACAUGAUUUCUGAGAAGGUUAUAACCAAGAGUUUAUCCUUUAAUCUUUUGGCAGCUUGAUAUUUGAGCUUGUGUUGGAAGCUUCCAUUUACCAGUGCAUCUGUAUGCAGUUGAUAUUUUUGCUUUUUCUAUGUUAAAUCCUCAUCAUAAUCACCAAUAUAUAAUUUGACGUUUUUUCCAUUAUUUAUGCUUGAUGUCAUCUUCCUUUCUUUGUUCAUGUCAUGCAUGAGCAUUUUUCUCCGUUGAAGUUUAAAAUUCAAAAUUUUGUUAGUUUGUUAGCGUAGUUUAAAAUUCAAAACUCUAUUAGUUUAUUUUGCAUUUGUGUGUAUAUAUAUAUAGUUGGUCAUUCUUUUCUAUAGUUCAGGAAACUGAUGUUCUACAGCUUACUAUGUUCUGGUCUUGUUGUCCUUGGAUUAAAAUUUCAUAAUAUUGGACUUAUAUAAAUGAUGAUAUUUUAGUUGCAUAUGCAGAUGUUGAAACUUGUAUAUAUAAUAUAAUAGCUCUCACAAUAUGCUAUAGUUACAUAGCUGCUUUUCACACUAUUAUUGGCCUCUUGCUAAAAGCAGGGCCAGUAUACUCUCUCACAAUAGUAAAUCAAUAUUACCCUAUUGAAGAAAAUUUCCUAUUAUAUAGAACUUC